CCCAGCCCGGCCGCCCGCGGCGCGGCGCAGCCCCGGCCCCCCGAAGGCGCUCAGUCGGCGCUGCCCGGAUGCCGCCCCAUUCUCCCCGAGCUGGGACGCGGCGCUAGCACCGCCCGGCCGGCCGCGCAUGAGCAGGGCUGCCAGCUGCGCGUCAUUCCCCGGCGCAGGCCCGGCCGUGCCCCCGGCCCCCCCCCUUCCUCCUCCUCCUCCUCCUCCUCCUGCCCGCCCCUCGCCUCGCCUUAGCCCGGGGGAGCCGAGGCCCGCCCUCGCCGCCCCGAAAAGUUUCCCCCCGGCCCGACCGCGGGUCCCCGUCUCGCCUCCCUUCCUCCCUCCCCUGGUCGGGAAAUGGAGGGCGGCGCGGCCGGGAAAGCCGCGGGGGGACCGGCGUGGGGCAGGGGGGAGCUGCUGGGGGUGAGGGGAAGGUUGAGGGGCAAAAGGAGGAGCUGAGGGGCUUAAAAGAUGAACCGGGGGCUGAGGAACGGGGUGGGAGGUGAAGGGGUAGGGGAAGCUGAGGGGUGAGCAGGGGGUCGCGUGAUGGGCUGAGGAACGAGGUAGGGGAUACAAGAUGAACACGGGGACAAGGAACGAGCUGGAGGAUGAGUUGAGGGGUAUGAGAUGAAGAGAGGGAUGAGGAACAAGCUGAGGGAUGAGUUGGGAGGUGAAGUGCCAGGGGAAGGCUGAGGGAUGAGUUGGGGGUCCCAUGAUGGGCUGAGGAACAACCUGAGGGAAGUCAGGGGAUGAAAACAAGCUGAGGGAUGAGUUGGGGGUAUGAGAUGAACAGAGGGAUGAGGAACAAGCUGAGGGAUGUUGGGGGGUGAAAACCAGCUGAGUGAUGAGUUGGGGGAUACAAGAUGAAGAGAGGAGUGAGGAACAACCCGAGGGAUGAGUUGGGAGGUGAAGGGCCAGGGGGAAGCUGAGGGAUGUGUUGGGGGUCGCGCGAUGGGCUGAGGAACAACCUGAAUGUAGUUGGGGGAAAAAGAUGGAAAAGAAGGAUGAGGAACAAGCUGAGGGAUGAGUUGGGGGAACAAGAUGAACGGAGGGAUGAGGAAUGAGUUGAGGGUGAAGGACAGGCCGAGGGCUGAGACAGAGAACAAGCUAGGGGACAAGAUGUUCGACAAGCUGAUGAGAAGGGUGCAGGGGAGCUGGGCACGAAGGCCGGGGCACAGACAGGGAAAGAGGAGACCCUUCCCCUUCAUUACCCUGUGCUCUGCAUCCAUCCACCUUGCCAAGGCUUCACCUGAGCUCCGCGAUGCAGGAGGAGGCUGCAGUUUCCUCCUUGUUUCCCUGCUCUUUCAGGCCUUCUCCUCGCUCCAGGGUCACCCCCAGGCCUUGGCCGAGGCUCUGUCCAUGGACCCUUCUGGAAGGGGACCGGCCUGGUGGCCCCCACAGUGGCUGCGUGUGGCCCAGCCCCAGGGACAGAGCGGAGCGAGGCGUGCGUGGACCUAGGCCCCAGCUGUACCAUGCACUGCAAUAGUAGCGGGAUCUAAUCCUCCCGUUAUCGUUUUUUAUUACAUACAGUUAGAUAUUACCACACGUUAGCAUCACUCCUGGGUACUCCCUUCCUUGUGUUUGGCUGGCUUUGCUCCAUUUGACUAAGUUGGCUCUGUUCCUCACCUGUUCAGCUGCUUUCCCCUUCCCUGGGGGGUAACCUCAAGUUCUAUAUGCAAGAGGAGUAGAAAGAUGUUGCGAAAUAAAACCUAAAGAAGUCCACUGAGCUUCAUAAAUAAGUCGGGAAAAAAUCUAUGAAGGAGAUCCAGCGUUAGUGGGAGUGCUGUGGAAGCGAGGAGAGCCAAGAAAGUCUGCCACCUGCUCCCACCUGCGUUCCCGUUCAGUCAUUGCCGAGGAGGAUUGCUUCCUCAGGCCCGUGCCCCAGCCCUGGUACAACAGGAACCGCUUCUUUGAAGUGGUAUCCGUUGGAGAAAGAAGAGUUGUAUGUGACUCCAGACUCUUGAAAUCCGUAUCACCAAGUCAAAUAGACCGACAUCUCACUGGGAGCUUGGUCUGAGCAGUGAGCAUCCCAGCACUGUCCCUGACUCCUCCGACCUGAAAGUGGAAGCAGUGACCACUCUGUGAGGCUGCUGGAAUUGUGCCUGCGCUCACCAGCCCGAGCCCUGGCCCUGGCUUCAGCUCUGCGGCAUCGAAGUCAGGCUGGAUACUCCCUGCUGCCUGGCUGGUUCUCCUGAGAACUGGGAGCCUUCAACCUGAUGCUGACUUUCUGCAGCUUGAAUCCUGGUCCUGAAACAAUCCUCACGUGGGCCUGGAGCACGGAUUGGAAAGCAGAAGAGCUGAGUCAUCCCCUGAGAAGAAACCUCCCACAGCAGAUGUUGCACCAUGCGAUCCUGCUGUCUCUUGCAGUCACUGCUGGAGGAACUCAUGUGUCACCUGAAGACCUGCAUGGAGAUAGCACGGUCCCGUUCCUCCGGUCACAUCACUAAAGCAAAGAUAAAUUCCUUGUUCAGUGCCUGGUGCACUGCAAGUGUCAGUAAAUCCUUCCUGUUUGGAAGCAUCCCUGCCUGUAUUGAGACCUUACCUUUGAAAGGUGAUAAUGUGAAAAGCGUCCUGCUACAUUUUGUAAUGAGGACCUAUUUAUGUGUGCUAUGUGGGGGACGUCCUGUCGUUUUCAACACUGUGACCUCUGGGUGACUUUUCUGAGCUUUCCUCUGGCACUGAGCAGAGAGAAGGCAGCUUUAUGCCAAUAAUCUCGAAUGAAAGUUUACAAGGGCUAAAUUCAGUCCCUGUUUCUGUUCAUGUAUUGCCUGUGAUUUAAAGCAAGUCACUUAAUUUUCUUGUUCCUCAUCUGUAAUAUAACACUGCAUUUUCCCUCCCUGCAGCCUGCCUGCUUUCUGUAGAUCAGAUGUUGGCCCAGACUGGGCUGUCUUGGAAGCAGGUGCCUCAGCAGACUGCUGUAAAUCACUCAAGUAGAGUCCUGGAAUCACAGAAUAUCCUGAGUUGGGAGGGACACACAAGGAUCAUCAAGUCCUUGCACUAAAGUACCUUUAGUAGUUACUGAUACUGCUGAUACUUCAGUUUCCGCCAGUUCUCUGCUAACCAGACCAUGAGUUUCAUGACAUUUUCUGCAAUAUUUAAACCCCAUGUCCUUGCCUUAGCUGAUUAUGUGAGAAACUUGGUUCCUGGGUUUUGUCUGGGUUUUUGUCUUGUCUUUUAAAGGUACAUCACUAGCACCAGUGCAAAAAUGAUCCUGAAAGUGUGAACGUUCCUUGUCUGUUACCUGAUUUGUUUACCUGCUGGCACAAUGCACAUGUUGGGUAUGAACAAAUGGCAUCUGGGAAAAGUAAUAUACAUAUUUAAGUAUUUUGGAGCCCAGAAGAGUUAAAUGUCUGCUUUUGGGUUUCCCUCUGGGUGUUCCAAAACAGCUGCAAGAGUUAAAGUUCUGUAUAUGUGCUGUCCUAUAUUACAGGAGCUACAUUCAUAUCUUUCAUUCUCAGCCUCCGCCUCCUCCUAUUCAAUUUACAGUCUAGACUGUUUAAAAAUAUCUUGUUACUGCCUUUUUUUUUUUUUUUCCUAUGGAGAAAGGGCACUUGUGAGACAAUGCUCUCAACUGGAGAUUACACAGAUUUGUUGCAUGUUGGUGCACGAUAACAGGAGAGGUUCCAACAAGCUCCAAUAUAUAAUAAACUGUGAAAGCAUAAAUUGCAUAUGAUUAAACCUUUGAUGGUGGGCUGUUAGGAAUUCCCAGUGCAACAUGCCACGCCGCCUUUUACAUCAGCCCUAACAAUGACAGUGCCAGACUCGUUGGCUCCAAGGGGUUAAUUAUACAUUAUGGAUGAAACAAUGCAAGGAUGCUUGUUAAUACUCAAUUAUUUGCAUGGUAACCCUGGGUGACUCCCUUACUACUGCUGCCAAUUUGCAGUGCUCACCUGGGGCAAGAUAGGAAAAGGCUUGUCAUUCCUCACCCAAUCCACUGUCUUUCUGCCCCUCCUUGCUGUUUUUUUUCCUAUUUGCAACACCAAUUUGCUUGUCAAGGUGUCUGACAGGUGAAAAGCCUACCUGAUUAUUGAAAUUGUAAGGUCAAAAGAAAUGUAAUCCAUCUGCCAUGGAUGGCAAUGUGCAGCUGAUGCUGGUCCAGGGCAAAAUAGAGAUGAGGGGCAGGUGAGGUGGGCAGGCAGGUGCUGAUGGGCAGCUCUUAUGGCAGUGGUAAAGCAGUGGGGGAUAAAAAGGGUCAGAGAGGGAGUACUUGGGCUGGUGGUGGCUAUCUGCCUGCCUCUUAAGCAAAGCAUUGACUGGGAAAUCUUGCAUUUAGGUCUCCAGGAGUUGGGGCACCUUGUGGGUCUAAGUUUAACAGUGCAGGUUCCUCUUGCUCUUCCCUGUGAGUGUUGCAGGGCAGCUGGAUUGGGAGGUGUGCAUGGGGCUGGGUGAGGUGCUGCCGGAGCUGCUCCAAAGCCUGGCUGUGCUCCUUCAAGCACCCAGAGCCUGCCUGGGGGAUUAAUUGUGUUUAAACCCUGCUGGGAUAGUUCAGGGCCAUGUGGCGUUGCUUCCCCGUGACACUGCUUCCCUGCAGCACAUGUGGGGUGAGGAUUUGGGAGAGAGAACUGGGUGAUGUUCUCUGAUGUGCUGGGAAGGGGCUGGAAGCCAUCCCCCUACUUUUGGCACCCCAACUCCAGGGGCCUGAGCACCUUUUACUUGCUGGAAGCUGGAGCUGACACUGGAGAGGUGGGCUGGGAUAAGGUGACAGGCUAAAUGCUGGGAAUGGAGCGGAGGUGCCAUGUCCCGAGGAAGAUUUCUGGAACUUCUGAGUUCUCUCCUUUUCAAAAGAACACAAUUAACUACGUUAACUCCCAUAAACCUGGGAUAAAAUCAUCCUCUCAGCAAUUGCAGGCUUUGUAUUUUUUUUUGUUGUUCUUUUAAAAAUAGCCUGAAUGUUGCUACUGUGUUCCCACACUAACUAACCCCUGCUAAAAUCAAGGCGAUGUCUGCCUUAUGUCUUUUCUAGGCUGAAGGAAUAUUUGAGGUUUUAAAGAUAUUUCUUUCUUUAAAAAAGACUUCAGGGGGGAAGCCUACAGUAAAUAUGGCUCUGACCUUAUCUGAAUUGUUCCUGUGCACUGAAUCUAGCCAAGGACUCUUGAAUAAAACAAACCUGAAGUUUCUAGGCCAAGUAGGUUUUGAGAUAUGGCUCUACGAUAAAUUGUUAGAGGAAUAUUUCAAAGACUGAAUUGCACCUCAUUUUUCAAAGUCCCAUAUCUCACAAACACCUUGUCUGAUCUGCCACAAAUUUUGUCAAUAAAUUAUCCUCUGGCUACUGAUCGCAUAUGCAAAGUCUUCAGCAAAAAAAAGCCACACAAAUCUUUGCUCCCACCUUAAACACCUCCCUCCUGGCAAUAAGUACCCUCCUCCCCUCAGUGCUGGCAGAGUUUUUUGGGGGCUAUAAAAAUAAUCCUGUAUAACCCUGACAGUGUAGUGCUGGGUGGAAAGUCACGGAGCAUCUGGUCCCAGCUAUCUUCCUAAAACCUGUGGUUUGCAGGAACAUAAUUGUGGAAAGCUACUCCCAGUUUUGAAUGGGGCUGUGUGGUUGCUCUGAAUUGUUCCAUCCGGUAGCUGGUGGAGCAGUUUGGGGCUGUAACUCCUCUUCCUCCUCCACUCCAGCCCCCUGUGGGCCAGGAGAUGCUCUGGGAUGGCUGUGACGUGACCUGGGCUCACAGCCUUGUCCCCCCGACGUUGCAGGGCUGCUGUGUGCAGCCAGCCCGGUGGGCAUGAGACCUGGCAAGUUUUGGGGCCGAUGGUGCCCACAUUUGUGGCUCCCUGUCUCUGCUUUCCCAAAGAUCUAAAAUUUAGAGGUUUGUACCACCUGUAAGACCAGGAAAGGGAGAGAAAGAUGUGACCUUAACUUACGGAGCAUGGUGUUUUCAAGUACUUUGUUAUGGGGAAGUCGGAUAAAAUAGGAAGUUAGAAACUAAGUAUUUGUAGACUCUUUUAUUUAGUGGGUGAGCUCCAGGUGAAACGAGAACAAAGAAAAAGGCAAGGGGAUCUGAAUAUGAGCCACGAACAAGACUAGGAUGGCAAUGGUGAGCGCGGAAUCAGCAUUGCUUGCUGUCAUCCUUCAUGUUUUUUAUUCACAAUAAUUAAUCUCAAGGAAUUAUGUCUCUGUGGCAAACGCUCUCUUAGCAGAAAGGACUUGAUAAAUCUGUGCUUCUAUUUCAGAGACAUGGACAAGCAUUUUUUUUCCCUUUCCCCCCAUUUGUACUCUUGCAAAGAUAAGCCUCUUCUUUUCUGGUAUCUGCAUUCAGAUCCAUGAGGGAGUUAUUAACUGAACUGGCAGGGCUAACCAGCAACAAUGGGACAACGACCUUGUCCUUGUAGUAAUUUGUUCCAUGACAUUAUAAGGAUUCAAAUGAAAUAAUCAUUUAAUAACAGAAUAAAGAAG